rnacentral:rRNA from 1 species
UACGUAGGUCCCGAGCGUUGUCCGGAUUUAUUGGGCGUAAAGCGAGCGCAGGUGGUUUAUUAAGUCUGGUGUAAAAGGCAGUGGCUCAACCAUUGUAUGCAUUGGAAACUGGUAGACUUGAGUGCAGGAGAGGAGAGUGGAAUUCCAUGAGUAGCGGUGAAAUGCGUAGAUAUAUGGAGGAACACCGGUGGCGAAAGCGGCUCUCUGGCCUGUAACUGACACUGAGGCUCGAAAGCGUGGGGAGCAAACAGG